UAUUGUGGCCUUUGUCAGUGGUGUCUGAUGU
rnacentral:piRNA from 1 species